AGCGGCGGACGGGUGAGUAACACGUGGGCAACCUGCCCUGAAGUGGGGGAUAACAUCUGGAAACAGGUGCUAAUACCGCAUAACAACGAAAACCACAUGGUUUUCGUUUCAAAGAUGGUUUCGGCUAUCACUCCAGGAUGGGCCCGCGGUGCAUUAGCUAGUUGGUAAGGUAACGGCUUACCAAGGCGAUGAUGCAUAGCCGAGUUGAGAGACUGAACGGCCACAUUGGGACUGAGACACGGCCCAAACUCC
rnacentral:rRNA from 1 species